rnacentral:lncRNA from 1 species
GGGGUGUCUGCGAUUGGCUCCCGCCCGUCCGGAAUGUAGCGAGCAGCUGCUGGAGUUUGGUACAAAGUUGCGACUCGCCGGAGCCGGGAACCCCCCGGAGCAGGUGGGGUCUGGGCUGUCCUGGGACCGGAGCAGGAAUGGCUGAGAACGCGGACUUGCGGGACUCUGAUAACAGCUGGGUGAUCACAGGCUCCGAGGGUUUGCCCGUGGAAACCGUGGGCCCAGAGCUGGACACAGUCACCCAGACCCCAGCGGACGAGGAACCAGCAGGACACACCCUUCCGAAGGGGCACAGCACUGAGGAUGUGCACACAGCCGGCACCUCCCCAGGCAGGAAGAGAGAAGGCUCCCAGCUGAACACGUCCCCUGGCCCUGAGGAGGCUGAGUUCAAGGACUCUGAGGAGUGUCCCCAGGAGACCCUGAGCCUAGCAGCCUCCCCCAGGCCUGGUGCACCGGGCCACGAGGUGCCAGAGAUCCAGGCACAGGAUGGGCCAGGCUCUGAGGACCCUGAGCUGGGCUCUGACACCAACACGCUGGGCUCCGUGUCCAGUGGCAGAGCAGGUGAGCCGCUGGAGGAGGUGAGCAGCAGCGAGGAUGAUGCUGAGGGUCUGCACCAGCAGCAGCUGCGGGACUCACACCGGGCUCCGUGUGGCCCUGCCGAGUGCCGUGGGGCCGAGGCAGCCGGUGACGGGGAGAGCGGGCUCAGUGUGAAUUCAUGCCUGCUGGGCGUGCUGGCGCUGCUGGGCGUCGGGCUCCUGGCCUUCUCCGGUAAGCGAGGCCCUGCGGCUGCUGGGGGGCGGAUGAGGCUGGCGCCGGCAUCUCCUUCACCAUCUAUU